CCGUGGGACCCCACUACCCACAUCCUUCCAGGUCGAUACAGACCCAUCUACCACCACUCUCUGGGUGCAACCACUAAGUCAAUUCGCCACCCACCAGACUUCGCAGCCAUCCAAGUGACA